AACGCGAAGAACCUUACCUGGCCUUGACAUGCAAGUAGUAGAAGGAUGAAAGUCUGACGAGGUAGCAAUACCAGCUUGCACAGGUGCUGCAUGGCUGUCGUCAGCUCGUGCCGUGAGGUGUUUGGUUAAGUCCAGCAACGAGCGCAACCCUUAUCGUUAGUUGCCAACGCGUGAAGGCGGGAACUCUAACGAGACUGCCUGGGUUAACCAGGAGGAAGGUGAGGAUGACGUCAAGUCCGCAUGGCCUUUAUGUCCAGGGCUACACACGUGCUACAAUGGUCGGUACAGAAGGCGGCGAAACCGCAAGGCGGAGCAAAUCCUGAAAAACCGAUCUCAGUUCAGAUUGUAGACUGCAACUCGUCUACAUGAAGUUGGAAUUGCUAGUAAUGGCGUGUCAGCAACAACGCCGUGAAUACGUUCCCGGGCCUUGUACACACCGCGCAUA
rnacentral:rRNA from 1 species